UUUAGUUGCAACUGGCUUGCUCCUCUGAUUCUCACAGCACUUUUGUCUGUGUAAUGGGACUGUGUUUGGGCCACCUACCAGCUGCCAUUCCACUGUGCAGUGAAAUGAGUGGCGAUUGGAUUAGUGGCCUUAGGAGUCUUCUGGCUGAAGGGGGUCUGGCUCUUUCCUUCUCUCUGGGAGGACAACAGAGCAGCUUAUAAAGGGCUGGACCAAGUAAAUGGAGAAAGGGGCCUGCCAGAGUCAGUUAAGCAGUCUUCCAUUACAAUCAUCACUGCAGUUGCUUGAAAGUAAAGCAUGUUGAAGUUAAUGGUCUUUUCUUUUGACUAAGUGGAAGUAAGAUUGUGCUGUGGUGUAGAGAAAGAUUCAAACAGGUCCUCUUGCUUAUGUCAUUGGUGAAAGAGGCUGGUUUAGGAUUUCAGGGGUUGGCUCCUCACUGCCCUUUCAGAUUGCCGAGUUCACAGCCUGAAGCCUCCUUUUAAUAAUGUAAUAACCAUCUUUUCAAGUCAGUUCCAGGUUAUGGCAACCCAUUCCAAUAUUUUCUAGGUACAAAGUGUUCACCAUUUGCUUCUUCUGGGGGUCUGUGCAGCCCACCCAAAGCUACACAGACUGGCUUUUCUCAUGAGAAACACACAGUGGGGAAUUGAACUCCCAGCUUCUGGCUCCCUUACUGAGCUGUUGGUUUUAAAAACUUUAGGGCUUUAAUCAACUGUUGGUGACCCCAGUGUUCAUCUCCUAAAGAUCUCACUAACAAUUAACCGGUUUGUUUUUAUUUUUACCAUGUUUCUCCUCUCUGUGUCUCAGCUUGCCUAGGGCUGGCCCUGGUCCUCCUUCACCCCUGCAGACUCUUGCGUGUAGGAUGAAGAAGGGGAGGAGAGGAGCUUCUCAUACCUAGUCUGGAGGCAGGCAGACGUUGUGCCACAUGGACUCUAAAUACAGAGCCAGCAUCUGGGCUCAGGACUGUCAGGAGGGAGCUGCAGAAAAAGGCCCUGGGGUUCCAUCAGGGUCGUGGCCCAUGGCUUGCAUUUCUCACACCUCUUUUAUGGAUACAGCUGACCUACAAGUCAUUAGGAAGAUGCCGUAUGUCACCGGGCUUUCAGUCGAGUAAUGAAUUGUUAUCACACUACAUGUGUUCAUUGGUUUAACCAGUGCCAGGAUUUUUGCAUCAUCAGCAACAAUUUUAGGAAUGGACAGAAUUGAAAAUGUAAUUGUUGAUGUCAAGACUUUCUGCAUUUAAUUUCCUUCUGACUGCACUGCCCACAAGCCUAUCCACCUGUGUGUGUAAGGUAUUUAUACCUAAAAAUGUGCAUAACACAUUAUUUAGGUAUCUGAAAUUUAGUUGGUUUUGCUACAACAGACUAGCAUUGCCACCACUUUAGAAAUAAUACAUUAAAGAAAAGAUAGUUUUGAAUCUAUACGUGCACAUCACACUGAUGGAAUAAACUGCUGAUGCUACUGGUAUGCA
rnacentral:lncRNA from 1 species